rnacentral:lncRNA from 1 species
AAUCUAACUACACGUUGUAGAACUUCUUCCUUUCAAGGUGGCUUUGCAACUUAUUAGGUAACAAAUUGAAUUCCACCGAGCCAGGCCUUGCUUACCGGUGCAGUGAGGCUCUUGUUGAGGAGCACGGUGGCUUUCCAGAAGAACAAAGGGAUAUGAAGCAGCUGAUACCAGUUGUAAUUUAAAGCCUUGGGUUUAGAAGAAAAACUUUACAUUUGAGCCUAAGAAAUUCAAAUUCAUCUGUUCUCCAGAAACGAAAUGUGAGAACUAUGAGAAUUCCUGAUCCUCCCAACAAAAGCACCUCACGAUUACACUAAAUUGCUCUCAACAACUGUGAGCCGCUCCUUGGUCUUAUGCUUCCCUCAGAUUAAAAUACUUUAGGGCUGAAGGGUUCAUUUUUUGUUUCUUGGAGACACAGGAUUUCUGUUCAUUUCCAGAAGCAGGAGGGACAGCACAGCACUACCCAGGGCUGCAGGAACUCCUCACAACCCCGCCAUGACACCUCGCUCACCAUGCUGUAUGUGAUGGCUGAAACGCGAGAAGCCUUCACAGCCCUCACUCACAAAUCUGAACGAAACCCAAAACGUGAUCUGGAUUCUCCUGUUCUCGGGGGAUGUCUGAGAACCCCAAACCAACACACAUAAAAAACCUCUUGUGAAACCUAGCAAGUGGGAGUACCAGGCCUUCUCAUAGCUGUACAGCAGCAAGCACAUCAACCUUAACCGUAUCUGAGGAACAAGCGUUUCACACGCCUCAGCAGCGAUCUAGUUAAAAGAUACAGCACCAUUUUCUCAGAACCCCAUCUCGGUGUCAGCAGACACAGCCUCCUCGGAACGCUUCCUUCCUUCCUGGCGGUGCAGGUGCAAUACCGCGGCUCCGCAGCAGCACCGCGCCGUUCCCGCAGGCAGGCACACGGCAGGAAAAGGGCGGGCAAGGACGACCCUCGGACCCGGCUUUCCCUCAGGGCUCCCUUCGAGCUCCCACAGCUCCGCUCUCCAUGAGCGCAAAACGUUUCGCUACAAAAAGUACACCUGUGUCCUUCCACUCACUCAGCAGAAAGCGUAAGUGCGAUACGACGCAGCCGCUCCACAAAAAGCCACCCCAUACCCCAACCACCCACGCGCACACCCACAGCAAUCCCGCCCACGAUUCCCACAGCACGCACGCACGCGCCCCAGCCUUCCCCCGAGCUCACAGGCUCCUAGCGCACGCGCAGACGCACGGCCGCGUCCCAUUGGCCGGUUAGUCACGCACGCUGAGCGGCUGCUCUCUCGGGCCUACGGGUUGCGGCCGCCGCGCAUGCGCAAUCGGCGCCUGCCGGCCCGGCCGCGAGGAGCAGGCGCAAUGCCCCCUCCCGGCAAGCUGGCCGGCCGCCGCGCAUGCGCAGUCGAGACCCUUUCGGGAACGUUCCGUGCCGCCUGUCUCGCUCCAGCCUUCCUCUGCAAGGGAAAUCCUGUCAGGAUGUUCGGAGCUUCUAGUUGAGACGAGUUCUGGCUGUAGGAGCACGAGGGCUGAGCAGACUGCUCCGGGUCUGCCUGGAAGAUCUUCACCCUUGCAGCGCUGCUGCGAGAGUUAGAAACCUGCUGCCUCUCCUCUCUGGUUCUCUUGGUCUCCUGGAGAGGAGAGUGCGCACUUUCACCGCUGUCUCCUGCUCUGCCUGCUCCUGCUUUCAGCAUGGUAAAGAAGAACACUAUCCCCGAGGGAGAGGAACAUCUGCUGUAGAGUAAUUGCUUGUAAAGAUAGUGUUACCGUCUGACAAAGCUCAUGAUACUGAAGUGUUCCCAGCUUGUUGGAAGAACAUAACUAAAGUUGCCUGUACGUAAGGGCUGUGCUACAGCACUGUGCAACCUUGGUGGAAUCAGAACUAUGAGCGUACUCAGCACCUGAAAAAGUAUUAAUAGCUGAUGUUGCCAGUGGGUCUGCAGUACGUCUCAUACCUUGUUCUUGCAUACGUGUUGCUUUCCCCUAGCCCUGAAUGCUUGAUGGUAUGCUUUUUGCACAGCCUUUCCUCCAGCAAAGAGGAGAGGAAGUAGCCUGGAAGUACAAUUUUCCAUAUUCCUUCAUAGCAAAAAUCAUUUCUCCCUUUUCGCAGUAAAGUC